rnacentral:lncRNA from 1 species
GCCAAUCAGUGAUGGCCCCAGCUUCUAAAAGCCAAUCAGCGACAGUUCAGUCCAGUGAACAAGCUUCCAGGCUAAAGGUCAGCAAACCUCUAACCAGGCUAUUCUGAAAGCCCACCAGUCCUGAACUCCACGUUUCCCAUCACGCUAUAUUUGAUCAGCGCUUUCUUCUCUCAAGCCGUCUCCUACAAGCUCAGUCCUGCCUUUCCUAGCAAGCGACAAAUUUACCUUCUUGUUUCAAGUACUGACUCUAAGGAGCCCCAAGGACUCUAAGGACUGAGGAGGGCGAAUCCUGAGCUGCCAGGACCCCUAUUCUUUUUACAACCCAAAGAAAACUUGAAAGAAAAUGAAGAACUUUGUCCUUAGAAACAAGCCAUCUGUUACAGAGCGGAGCAAACCAGCCAGGCCUCUGUGAGCCUCACAUCACUUCUGCCAGGCGCUGGCUGGGCAGCCUCUGUUGCAAGCUGUCUAGUCUCUAAUUCCUGUAACUCAGGAACAAUAUCAACUGGUUGAUGAAAUGUCUGGAAGAGUCCAGGGCAAAGUAAAUGCAGCAACAAACUCCAACUUAGCUCUGGCCAGGAGUGGCUCUGCAAAUUCUUUCUCCUUCUGGGACAGGCUGGAGGAGAGAGUUAAACCAGAGGAAAGCAAGAUUUUAGACACGUGCGAAAGGGUCCUCAGUCCCUGCUCCUCUCUCAGGCUGAGACUUUAGAAUCCCAGGUAAGUCUGGAAGGUCUGAUGGUAGGGUCAAUCUGUAUCUUGCUUCCUAACAGGACUUUUUGAAGACGCAGCCCACCUUGGCUGUCUCCUCUGUGCCA